UUCUAUAUGAAUCAGCGCGCGAAGAAAACUGUUUUUUCACUGUUAAUGGAAAAAGGUAAUAGCACGUUCCUAAUCUAACGAUGCGGCUAGAUACAUGUUAGGCUACUCCACAAGAACAGUCCCAUUAUUUGUGUUGGUCAAUGAGAAAGUUGGAGAUGGAAAUUAUCUUAUAUAAAAGAAAAAGGUAAAAGAGGUAAAUUAGAUGGUUUCAAACACCUCUAUUAGGCCUACAUGUUCGUCUGCUUCGCAAAUUCACCUGUAAUGUAUUACAUGGUAAAAAUAAGGAUGUCAUCUUUUCCUCAACAUAAAAGUAUACUUGCCUUUCAACAAACAAUAAACAACCGUGUAAUUAAUUCGUUUAGUUCAAUAGUCUAGCUUAUUCGUUCAGUAAACCCGCACAAUUUAGUCGAUUUGUUCAAUGAGCCCAACUCUAAUUCUGUUUGUUGUGAAAUAACACAAUGUUUAUUUAAGACACUUUUCUGGAAAUGUGAAAUAUACUGUGUUCAUAUAUAUAUAUAUAUAUAUAGAUAAAAUAUUGGACUAUCAGUGUGACUUAGAUUCUAUACUUUGUUUACAUCCAACCAAUGUACGCAUUCCUUCUCUUCGCUACCAUUCCAGGCUUGUACAAUGAGCUCAGAAACUGCAAAGUUGUGAAUAUAUCCGAGAAGAAUGUACAGAAAAAGACCCCGCCCACAUUCUUUGAGGAAAACUUUAUUCCUUAGGGCUAAACAGGCUUAAAUAAAGAAAGAUUCAUAUACCAAAGACUGCGUCUUGCAUGGAAUGAUUUGAGAUUUUUAAGAAUGGAAAGCACACGGGGACCAUCGUCUCAUCCAGUGAAAGCCUUACCAUCCUGCAGCAGGUGGUGGUGCUGAUAAAGGCGGUCAAAGAAAGGUGAAAGUGGUUUUAUGUCAUGUGUUUACCCUCUUUCAAACAUGUGCAUCUCUACUGUAAUUCAACGAUUUAUUUUCAAAGAUAGCCUCAAAAUAUUACCUCAUUCCCUGUAGCCAUUCCCCUUGCAAGGGGAAGAUGAAACUCUAUUGGUCAACAUAAACUAGUAGGGCUGGUCAGUUUAUUAAUAUUUUCCCUUGUAACUGUAUCUUGGAUUAAAAAUAAUUUGCUCUUAAAACAAACUAUAGCAUUAUUUUCGAAUGUUUAUGUUCCUGACCCUAUAGUAACCACAGUGUCGUCAGUGGUGUGAUGGUAGCCAUUACCCACUUCAGUGGGCUCCGGUAUCAUUAGUUUCAAGGUCUCCCGAUACUCCAGAUAAACGUUGUGGUUUCCACCCCACCCCUCUAUUACGGCUUCUGAUCAGUCAACUAGCCUGCUGAAUCACAAAUGCUCUUA